CACGUCAGCGCGACCUGCUGACGUGGAAGGAAAUCGCGUCUUUGAGGGUGCGAUUUGCUUCCACGUCAGCAGGUCACGCUGACGUGG
rfam:Gossypium hirsutum cultivar TM-1 unplaced genomic scaffold scaffold293.1, whole genome shotgun sequence